rnacentral:rRNA from 1 species
CCUACGGGGGGCAGCAGUGGGGAAUAUUGCGCAAUGGGCGAAAGCCUGACGCAGCGACGCCGCGUGAGGGAUGAAGGUCUUCGGAUCAUAAACCUCUGUCAGCAGGGAAGAACGGUCACUGUGCUAAUCAGCAGUGAAUUGACGGUACCUGCAAAGGAAGCACCGGCUAACUCCGUGCCAGCAGCCGCGGUAAUACGGAGGGUGCGAGCGUUAAUCGGAAUUACUGGGCGUAAAGCGCUCGUAGGCGGUAUGUCAAGUCAAGGGUGAAAUCCCCGCGCUCAACGUGGGAACUGCCUUUGAAACUGGCAAACUGGAGUGUGUGAGAGGAGAGUGGAAUUCCAGGUGUAGGAGUGAAAUCCGUAGAUAUCUGGAGGAACAUCAGUGGCGAAGGCGACUAUCUGGAACAUAACUGACGCUGAGGAGCGAAAGCGUGGGUAGCAAACAGGAUUAGAUACCCUAGUAGUC